rnacentral:rRNA from 1 species
GACGAACGCUGGCGGUGUGCUUAACACAUGCAAGUCGAACGAUGAAGCCGGAGCUUGCUCUGGUGAAUUAGUGGCGAACGGGUGAGUAACACGUGAGUAACCUGCCCUUGACUCUGGGAUAACUGCGGGAAACUGUAGCUAAUACCGGAUACGACCCUCGGAGGCAUCUCCUGGGGGUGGAAAGAAUUUCGGUCAAGGAUGGACUCGCGGCCUAUCAGCUAGUUGGUGAGGUAAAGGCUCACCAAGGCGACGACGGGUAGCCGGCCUGAGAGGGGAGCCGGCCACACUGCGACUGAGACACGGCCCAGACUCCUACGGGAGGCAGCAGUGGGGAAUAUUGCACAAUGGGCGCAAGCCUGAUGCAGCAACGCCGCGUGAGGGAUGACGGCCUUCGGGUUGUAAACCUCUUUUAGCAGGGAAGAAGCGAAAGUGACGGUACCUGCAGAAAAAGCACCGGCUAACUACGUGCCAGCCGCCGCAGUAA